AUUAGAGUUUGAUCCUGGCUCAGAUUGAACGCUGGCGGCAUGCCUUACACAUGCAAGUCGAACGGCAGCAUGAUCUAGCUUGCUAGAUUGAUGGCGAGUGGCGAACGGGUGAGUAAUACAUCGGAACGUGCCCUGUAGUGGGGGAUAACUUGUCGAAAGAUUAGCUAAUACCGCAUACGACCUGAGGGUGAAAGUGGGGGACCGCAAGGCCUCAUGCUAUAGGAGCGGCCGAUGUCUGAUUAGCUAGUUGGUGGGGUAAAGGCCCACCAAGGCGACGAUCAGUAGCUGGUCUGAGAGGACGAUCAGCCACACUGGGACUGAGACACGGCCCAGACUCCUACGGGAGGCAGCAGUGGGGAAUUUUGGACAAUGGGCGAAAGCCUGAUCCAGCAAUGCCGCGUGUGUGAAGAAGGCCUUCGGGUUGUAAAGCACUUUUGUCCGGAAAGAAAUGGCUCUGGUUAAUACCUGGGGUCGAUGACGGUACCGGAAGAAUAAGGACCGGCUAACUACGUGCCAGCAGCCGCGGUAAUACG
rnacentral:rRNA from 1 species